rnacentral:rRNA from 1 species
AUUGAACGCUGGCGGCAGGCCUAACACAUGCAAGUCGAGCGGAUGAAGGGAGCUUGCUCCUGGAUUCAGCGGCGGACGGGUGAGUAAUGCCUAGGAAUCUGCCUGGUAGUGGGGGAUAACGUCCGGAAACGGGCGCUAAUACCGCAUACGUCCUGAGGGAGAAAGUGGGGGAUCUUCGGACCUCACGCUAUCAGAUGAGCCUAGGUCGGAUUAGCUAGUUGGUGGGGUAAAGGCCUACCAAGGCGACGAUCCGUAACUGGUCUGAGAGGAUGAUCAGUCACACUGGAACUGAGACACGGUCAAGACUCCUACGGGAGGCAGCAGUGGGGAAUAUUGGACGAUGGGCGAAAGCCUGAUCCAGCCAUGCCGCGUGUGUGAAGAAGGUCUUCGGAUUGUAAAGCACUUUAAGUUGGGAGGAAGGGCAGUAAGUUAAUACCUUGCUGUUUUGACGUUACCAACAGAAUAAGCACCGGCUAACUUCGUG